rnacentral:siRNA from 1 species
CUCUACAUUUUGGGUGGUAUCCAA